rnacentral:lncRNA from 1 species
AACUUGCUGAUGAAAAGACGAGAGUUGAAUGGGAAGUUUCUUAAUGUCAAAAUCACAACUGAGUAAAAAUGUGAUCCCUCCUAGGCUGGAAAAUAUUUUAUUAGGAACACUGAACCAAACACUAUUUUGAUUCCUAAUAAAUGAUUUUAACCAGUUUAUUUUUAAGGUGCCAUUAAGGCUGUUAAAGUCUAUGGCUUCUAGGCCUCCAUCUUCAUAUUUUUUAGUCAGCGUACCUUGUUUAACAUAGUGUGUUUUCCUUUUCCAUAUGAAGUUAAAAUUGACUUGAUUAAUAGAUUUGAUAGCUUGUUUAGGGACACCUAUAGAAUAGGUGGGAUAUAUGAAUCUGGAUAUGCUUUCAAUUUUGGUGAGGAGAAUUCUACCAAAAACAGAAAGAUCUCUCUGUGCCCAGUUAUUCAGCAGAGACGAACAUUUCUUGGGGAUGUCAUGAAGAUUAUUCAGGAAAAUUGUAUCGUCGGCUAAUUGGCUUAUUGAAAAUUCAGCAUUUGCAACUGACAGCUUACCAAAGUCAGUAUGUUUGAUGAGCAAAGACAGCAUUUCUGCUGCUGCAAUAAAAAGAAGGGGUGAAAUGGGGCGACCUUGUUUUAUACCUUUGUUGAUGUUAAAUCUGUGAGACGUUCCCUGUUCUGUCUGUUUUUCUUGAUGCUUCAUGUUUCCUGAAGUGGAGAAACAGGAAGUUUGUUGUUUCUGUGUCAAAGUGACUGAAUGGAAAUGUUGCUGCUGCAGCUCCAUGUCUCCACCUGCUGGAGGGAGAGCAGAAGGGCAGCAGCUGAUGGCAGCUUCCUCUGAUGAUGAGGAGGGUUUCCUCUGCAGGUGAAGGUGUGUGUGAGCUGAUGUGGAUCCAGUGAAUCCAGCAGCAUGGAUCAGUGGGAGGAGCCACAGGAGGGAGCCCCUCCCUCUAAAAGCAGAGAUGGUAACCAUGACAACCACAGCAAAGCUCAGAGGAACCAACCUGGACCUGGACCUGGACUUGGAUCUGGACCUGAUUCUGGAUCCAGUAGUUUGUCCAACAGGAGUGACGAUUCAAAGGAUGGAAAUCCAGACUUCAAGGACAUCCAUCCAGGACUGGAACAGUAAGUGUUUGUCAGAGUUAAAGGAUUCUGGAUUCUAGUUCAGAUGAUCUGUAGAUUUCAGAUGAAGGACUUGAGGUCUGGUUCAGUUCUGGAUCUCUCUGAUCAGACUCACUUGGAGCAUCAUGUGUGUGAUGAGAUAUUUUCAGUUGAG